AGGAGCCGGAUGAGAAGAAACUCUCACGUCCGGUUCUGUAGUAGAGAUGGAAUUACAAAAUAACCAUCAACUAUAAC
rfam:Beta vulgaris subsp. vulgaris contig111708.1, whole genome shotgun sequence.